AUCAUUCGAUUUGUGAUCCUUUUUUGUUAAGCAAGAUCGGAUGACGUAAAUAUUCUCUUAAAAUAGAUAAAAAUAUCAGAAAAUAUUUUAUCAUACGAUAAAUUCGUUUUAUCGAUAAUAUUCAUGAAUUUUUCAAACACGUUGUUUAAAUCAAUUCUGUUGAUGGCGCAAUGUGGUAUCAUAACGGAGGUCUAUUUUAAUUACCGUUAAUGAGUGUUCCCGUCAUUAAAAUAUAUUUUCUAUACUAGUAUAUAUUCAAAACGGUUGAAUAUGCGAAGUGACAAUCAUAAAGAAGAGUUUUAUUGAUCGUAAAGGUAUAUUGGUUAUAUUUUAUGCAGUUUGGACCGAGGAAGUUGAAAUGGAACUCGUCUUUCUAGCGAUCGUUUCAUGCCAACACGCUUAGGAACCAUCGUAUUACAAUAGCACAUGUAGUUGACAAACAUGGGAGCGGCAUAUUGGGUCGAUGGCAAAAAGAAUAAAAAAAAAAAAAGGAGGAAGGACAUAGAAGCUGGGAUAUAGCGAGAAAACGGAUAUAUAUUACUGACUCGACCUUUCUACCUUGUCUACAUGUAUUUCACUCGCUUUAUAUCUAGGGUAAACGAGAAUUUAACGAGUCUGAAGAGAAUGUUAAGGUUAUGAUCAUGCAUAGUAAAAAUUUGUUAAGGUUAUGAUCAUGCAUAGUAAAAGUAAAAAUUUUAAGGAAAACUGUGCUCUACAAAAGACAUCUGCUAUAUAGGGUUAUGUUUAAUCGAUAUGAACAAUCGAAGAAGGAGAGGCUAGGAGGGAAAUUAUUCUGGACGUUCUUCGCUUUUGCAUAAUUUCAUGGUUCCUGACCUCGCAACCGACCAAGCGAAAACUAAUAACGAUGCUCUGCAUGAAGAACGGGGAACGACCUGCGCGCGGAUUCGGGCGCGGUCAAUGCCGUCUAGAUGCUUGCUAUUACUAUCCGGACCGUCUGAUAUUUUCGUCAUGGCCUACUAAUACACUCCGCAAAUUCUCGCCCUACCACGGGGGUCACUGUUCGAGGAUGACGUGGUCAAGGAAAUAUGCCGAUCGUGAGUAGUGUCACUGACCGUGAUGGCGAAUUUCUUCACUUUUUAUUCUUUGAAAACGAGCCAACCGAGAGACUGUUGCAUUCUCGGUCCCCUGCUAUAGAUUCCGGAGAUAUGCUCGGAGAGAAGAAUCUAUACUAUCAGUUUUGAACAAUCGGUUGUUGAUUCGUGAACACGUUCUUCAAUGUUUACUUAGAUGGAACUUCGAAUUUUCUAAGUUGAGAUGAAGAAAGCAGCGUAUACUUGCGAUGCGUUUAACGGGUAACCGGGUACAUAAUGGUCGUGGCUAAAUAUUCAAACAGUUUGGCCUUCCAUAUAUUCAUGACCGUCAUCUUCGUGAAGAAAAAGAAAAGGUAGAUGGAUUUGCAUUUGAAUGAUGGAACGAUUUGUGGGACAAGAAGUUUUUUCAAUAUACUGCUUUCCGGUAGUAUACGUGUUGACCAUCGACUCUGGCCGCCAUUUUUAGGAAAAUUGCUUUUAACGUGUUUCACGGCAUAAAGGUGCGGUCACGAUUUAUUCAAAAUUACGUUGUCUGUAGUUGGAAAUCAUCCUUUAUUAUGAAAUACUAUUAGCAUAUAGUAUUGAGAACGUAAUGAAAUUAAGUGUUUACGUCAUCUUCUUACUUUUAGGAUUAUGUACAAAAAAACAUACAAAAAAUUAAAAUUUAUAGUACUUUUUUUUACUUCAAAAAAGUAUUAUCUAUAUCUAGCGGGUUAAGAGAUAACGGUUCUAAAGUUAAUUUUUUAUUUCAUAAUGAAAAAUUCGUUUUCCAUUCGCAUCUCAUCACAACUAUCGACAUAGUCCUGACAUGAUGCAAUAUGAACUAUGUGUACCCAUUUCUCCACGCAUCGAGACAUUAUCUGUUCAACUCAUUAUCGAUAGAAUGCCACUUUCGCCCUAUUUCAUAAGACCAGGCAUCAUUAGUUUUAAGCGCGAUAAAAUUUUUUGAAUUUGGGACAUGAAAAAACACAGGGUCAUUAGGUCGUUCUGCAUCGAUAAGAUAUUACCAACAUGGAAUAUAAGUGCACUGGUUACAUAAAUGGUACAACGGUGAACGGGAUGAGAUUUUCAUUCCAACGACAAGUUAUAUUACACGGAGUAGACGAUGUAAAUCAUUGUUGUAAUGGAUCGAACGUUCCAUUAUCACGCAAUCGAGAUAAGAAUUCUGUCGCAAUCACUCGUGUUCAUGAUACAUAUUGAUUAAUUAAGUGAUCAUUAUUACAUUACUUUUACUUGCGACUACUUUUCCGUUUCUUCAAAAUACCAUAUAAUAUUUACAACGGGAGUUUAUAAGGUAAAAAAAGAUACGUAAAUGGCCUGUAACGCGAAGCGUUAUCAUCCUUGAACUCGGUGACGAAGCAUUUUGUGCUAACGUGUCGUAAAAUACAGCGAUACGAGUGUAUUAACUACUUUACGUUACUUUCUAUGAAUAGCGAGUUAAUUGAAUAGUUACAAUACUUAAUGAUGAAUUCGUAUAUUUCUUGUGAAAUGUAUCGUUCAAAUUGCACUCGAUUAUGUACAUCAAAUAUAAUCAUUAUCUUUCG